rnacentral:rRNA from 1 species
AACGAACGCUGGCGGCAUGCCUAACACAUGCAAGUCGAACGAAGGCUUCGGCCUUAGUGGCGCACGGGUGCGUAACGCGUGGGAAUCUGCCCUUAGGUUCGGAAUAACAGUUAGAAAUGACUGCUAAUACCGGAUGAUGACGUAAGUCCAAAGAUUUAUCGCCUGAGGAUGAGCCCGCGUAGGAUUAGCUAGUUGGUGUGGUAAAGGCGCACCAAGGCGACGAUCCUUAGCUGGUCUGAGAGGAUGAUCAGCCACACUGGGACUGAGACACGGCCCAGACUCCUACGGGAAGCAGCAGUGGGGAAUAUUGGACAAUGGGCGCAAGCCUGAUCCAGCAAUGCCGCGUGAGUGAUGAAGGCCUUAGGGUUGUAAAGCUCUUUUACCCGUGAUGAUAAUGACAGUAGCGGGAGAAUAAGCCCCGGCUAACUCCGUG